rnacentral:rRNA from 1 species
UAGGGAAUCUUCGGCAAUGGGGGCAACCCUGACCGAGCAACGCCGCGUGAGUGAAGAAGGUUUUCGGAUCGUAAAGCUCUGUUGUAAGUCAAGAACGAGUGUGAGAGUGGAAAGUUCACACUGUGACGGUAGCUUACCAGAAAGGGACGGCUAACUACGUGCCAGCAGCCGCGGUAAUACGUAGGUCCCGAGCGUUGUCCGGAUUUAUUGGGCGUAAAGCGAGCGCAGGCGGUUUGAUAAGUCUGAAGUUAAAGGCUGUGGCUCAACCAUAGUUCGCUUUGGAAACUGUCAAACUUGAGUGCAGAAGGGGAGAGUGGAAUUCCAUGUGUAGCGGUGAAAUGCGUAGAUAUAUGGAGGAACACCGGUGGCGAAAGCGGCUCUCUGGUCUGUAACUGACGCUGAGGCUCGAAAGCGUGGGGAGCGAACAGGAUUAGAUACCCUGGUAGUCCACGCCGUAAACGAUGAGUGCUAGGUGUUGGAUCCUUUCCGGGAUUCAGUGCCGCAGCUAACGCAUUAAGCACUCCGCCUGGGGAGUACGACCGCAAGGNU